AUGGGAACGCGAAGAACCUUACCUACUCUUGACAUCCAGAGAACUUUCCAGAGAUGGAUUGGUGCCUUCGGGAACGUCUGAGACAGGUGCUGCAUGGCUGUCGUCAGCUCGUGUUGUGAAUGUUGGGUUAAGUCCCGCAACGAGCGCAACCCGUUAUCCUUUGUUGCCAGCGGUUAGGCCGGGAACUCAAAGGAGACUGCCAGUGAUAAACUGGAGGAAGGUGGGGAUGACGUCAAGUCAUCAUGGCCCUUACGAGUAGGGCUACACACGUGCUACAAUGGCGCAUACAAAGAGAAGCGACCUCGCGAGAGCAAGCGGACCUCAUAAAGUGCGUCGUAGUCCGGAUUGGAGUCUGCAACUCGACUCCAUGAAGUCGGAAUCGCUAGUAAUCGUAGAUCAGAAUGCUACGGUGAAUACGUUCCCCGGGGUCUU
rnacentral:rRNA from 1 species